AGAGCGAACGCUGGCGGCAGGCCUAACACAUGCAAGUCGAGCGCUCGUAGCAAUACGAGAGCGGCAGACGGGAGAGUAACACGUGGGAACGUACCCUUUGGUUCGGAACAACACAGGGAAACUUGUGCUAAUACCGAAUAAGCCCUUACGGGGAAAGAUUUAUCGCCAAAGGAUCGGCCCGCGUCUGAUUAGCUAGUUGGUGGGGUAAUGGCUCACCAAGGCGACGAUCAGUAGCUGGUCUGAGAGGAUGACCAGCCUCAUUGGGACUGAGACACGGCCCAAACUCCUACGGGAGGCAGCAGUGGGGAAUAUUGGACAAUGGGCGCAAGCCUGAUCCAGCCAUGCCGCGUGGAUGAUGAAGGCCUUAGGGUUGUAAAGUCCUUUAACGGGGAAGAUAAUGACGGUACCCGUAGAAUAAGCCCCGGCUAACUUCGCGCCAGCAGCCGC
rnacentral:rRNA from 1 species